AUUAGAGUUUGAUCCUGGCUCAGAGUGAACGCUGGCGGCAUGGUUAAGACAUGCAAGUCGAACGAAAAGCAGAUCUUCGGAUUUGUGGAAGGUGGCGAACGGGUGCGUAACACGUGAGCAACCUGCCCUAAAGUGCGGAACAGCCUGUCGAAAGAUGGAUUAAUGCCGCAUGUGGCUCUUCUUCGCAUGAAGAAGUGGCUAAAGCUUGUAAUGGCGCUUUAGGAUGGGCUCGCGGCCUAUCAGCUUGUUGGUAAGGUAACGGCUUACCAAGGCUAAGACGGGUAGCUGGCCUGAGAGGAUGAUCAGCCACACCGGGACUGAGACACGGCCCGGACACCUACGGGUGGCAGCAGUUUCGAAUCAUUCACAAUGGGCGAAAGCCUGAUGAUGCAAUGCCGCGUGGAGGAUGAAGGCCUUAGGGUCGUAAACUCCUGUCAUUGGGGAGCAACAAGUAGGUUUAUAGCCUACCAUGAGUUAACCCAAAGAGGAAGAGGUGGCUAACUCCGUGCCAGCAGCCGCGGUAAUACGGAGACCUCGAGCGUUACUCGGAUUCACUGGGCGUAAAGGGUGAGUAGGUGGCCAAGUAUGUCAGGUGUGAAAUCCCGGGGCUUAACCCCGGAACUGCGCCUGAGACUACUUGGCUAGAGUCUCGGAGAGGAUAGUGGAAUUCCAAGUGUAGCGGUGAAAUGCGUAGAUAUUUGGAGGAACACCAGUGGCGAAGGCGACUAUCUGGACGAGUACUGACGCUCAAUCACGAAAGCGUGGGUAGCGAAAGGGAUUAGAUACCCCUGUAGUCCACGCCGUAAACGUUGCACACUAAGUUUCGGAGGAUUCGACCCCUUCGGAGCUCAAGCUAACGCGUUAAGUGUGCCGCCUGAGGACUACGGCCGCAAGGCUAAAACUCAAAGGAAUUGACGGGGGCCCGCACAAGCGGUGGAGCAUGUGGCUUAAUUCGAGGCAACGCGAAGAACCUUACCUGGUCUUGACAUGCCCGUCAUAGUUUUCCGAAAGGAAUUCGUCAGUUAGGCUGGACGGUGCACAGGUGCUGCAUGGCUGUCGUCAGCUCGUGUCGUGAGAUGUUCGGUUAAGUCCGGCAACGAGCGCAACCCUCGUUUCUAGUUGCCAGCGGGUAAUGCCGGGGACUCUAGGAAGACAAACCUCGUGUAGAGGUGGGAAGGUGGGGACGACGUCAAGUCAGUAUGGCCCUUACGACCAGGGCUGCACACGUGCUACAAUGCCCGGUACAAUGGGAUGCGAUACCGCGAGGUUGAGCCAAUCCAUAAAACCGGGCCCAGUUCGGAUUGGAGUCUGCAACUCGACUCCAUGAAGUUGGAAUCGCUAGUAAUGGCGUAUCAGCAACGACGCCGUGAAUACGUUCCCGGGCCUUGUACACACCGCCCGUCACAUCAUGAAAGCCGGUUCUGCCCGAAGUACGUGAGCCAACCGCAAGGAGGCAGCGUCCUAAGGUGGGGCUGGUGAUUGGGAUGAAGUCGUAACAAGGUAACCA
rnacentral:rRNA from 1 species